GAUGAACGCUGGCGGCGUGCCUAAUACAUGCAAGUCGAGCGAACAGACGAGGAGCUUGCUCCUCUGACGUUAGCGGCGGACGGGUGAGUAACACGUGGAUAACCUACCUAUAAGACUGGGAUAACUUCGGGAAACCGGAGCUAAUACCGGAUAAUAUAUUGAACCGCAUGGUUCAAUAGUGAAAGACGGUUUUGCUGUCACUUAUAGAUGGAUCCGCGCCGCAUUAGCUAGUUGGUAAGGUAACGGCUUACCAAGGCAACGAUGCGUAGCCGACCUGAGAGGGUGAUCGGCCACACUGGAACUGAGACACGGUCCAGACUCCUACGGGAGGCAGCAGUAGGGAAUCUUCCGAAAUGGGCGAAAGCCUGACGGAGCAACGCCGCGUGAGGGAUGAAGGUCUUCGGAUCGUAAAACUCUGUUAUUAGGGAAGAACAAAUGUGUAAGUAACUAUGCACGUCUUGACGGUACCUAAUCAGAAAGCCACGGCUAACUACGUG
rnacentral:rRNA from 1 species